rnacentral:rRNA from 1 species
UACGAAGGUCCCGAGCGUUGUUCGGAAUCACUGGGCGUAAAGGGUUCGUAGGUGGCCAACUAAGUCAGACGUGAAAUCCCUCAGCUUAACUGGGGAACUGCGUCUGAGACUGGAUGGCUUGAGUGCAGGAGAGGAACGCGGAAUUCCAGGUGUAGCGGUGAAAUGCGUAGAUAUCUGGAGGAACACCGGUGGCGAAGGCGGCGUUCUGGACUGCAACUGACACUGAGGAACGAAAGCCAGGGGAGCAAACGGG